rnacentral:lncRNA from 1 species
CAGGAGAUGCACUACGAGGACUCCUCGAUCUAGGGUCCAACAGUCACCUGAUCUGAAAACAUGAAUUUUUAUAAAACGUGAGUACAAUACUCAGUGAAUGAACAAGAUGGGAACAAGCAUACCAUAAGGAAUGUUUAUCGAAAUCAUGAUGCAUUCAUUUUCUCAAAACCAUGCAAUUGUUUUAGCUCCUUUAAACCCCUCAUGUAAACCCCACAUGAGUAAAUCACUUUACAAAAUUCGAUGCUCAACUAUGGCACUAAAGAAAUGGGAUAUAUGGCAAAAACCCACAAGUUAGCAAAAUGGACAGAAAGUUUCUCGCUGUAGCGAACUUCAUUCUCGCUGCAACGAAAACCAGAAUAUCAAGGAAAAAGUCUCAUUUUUCCCUUAAAACAAGUCAUCUUGCUAAAAUAACAAUAACAACAUGUAACACAUGUAAACUUCCAAAUUCCAACAAAACAAAUGCUUACAUAUUUGCAUGUACAACCAUAUACCCAUCAUCAACUUGCACACCAUUCCAUCAUCAUCAUCAUGCACACCAUCCCAUCAUCAUCAUCUCAUAUGCAACAGCUUAUGCGCAUAUAGCCGGGUCAGCAACGGCUUAUGUGCACUUCCACUCGCACAUAGCCGGGUCAGCAACGGCUUAUGUGCACUCCCACUCGCACAUAAUCGGGUCAGCAACGGCUUAUGUGCACUCCCACUCACACAUAGCCGGGUCCAAAUCAACAUGCAAAGAGCAUCUAAUGCAUAUCAUGCAUUUUAUCAUAUUGUGAUAACACAUAAACCAUUGUAUAGCACAUUUUCACAAUAUAAAAUCAUUUUACUAAAAGCUUGUUCCCAAGGUACAUUUUCUAAGACAAGUUGGAUAGAAUCUUUCAUAUUCCCCAAAACAAGUUUGAAAUGCAAGUCCACUCACCGGUAUUAGGAGUAGAAAUACUCCUAUUUUCAGUCCGCGGGUACAGUCCUUUACCUGUAUCCAAUGGCUCACCACCUAGCCAUAAUCCAUGACACAUAUUCCAAUUAAAUUGUGUCUAACAGUCAUAAGCUAUUUCAGGCUCGAUAUAUAUAUGAUAUGAAAUGAAAAAUGCACGGGUAGCCAUCUAGACCCGGUAUUGGCCUAAGUCGAUUUUUCAUCCGAUAAAUUGGCCAAUGCAUCCAAUUUCACUCCAAAUUAAUCCAUUUCUCCUCUAAUACCUUAAUUUACCACAUACCAUUUAAAUAAAGCCAAAUUCAGCAUUAGAACCCUCACAGUUCCUUAUAGAAAAAUUCGGUCAUUUGGUGCACUAGCACCGAAAAUUUUUCUACAUAACCGUUUCACCUUAAUUCAUCAUUUUUCAAGCCAUUUUCCUUGAAAUAAAAACAAUCCCCCAUUGAUAUUCAGCCCUCAUGGUUCGACCAACAAGGAACCCUAGAGAAAUUGAAUAUUUCUUUUGUGUUUUUGUUCAUAACCAUGCUUAACUAUCCCUAAACACUAACAUAGUCUAAAAUCAAAUUAUUCCAACAACAAUUCCUCUUCCAUACCCAUUUUUCAGAAUUGAAUUCAUCAUGAUAACUCAAUAUUCAACCAUGGAAAUCAAGAACAAAAGCAUGGGUAAGCUAGGUAUCAAGGAGAAUUAAAGAAAUUUGAACUUACCUAGCUUGUUUCCUUGAAUUCCAACACUUUCUCUUUGAUUUUUCCCACCUAGGGCUUGUUCUUCCUUGGUUUCUCUUCUCUUCUGGUUUGGCUGAUCACUAUGGGAGAAAUGGGCUGAUUUUUAUGCCUUUUAUAAAGAAAAUAAUGAAUGGAUAAGAUUUUGACACAUGUCACCAUUCCAUUGGUCCAUGUGUCAUACUUAGCCAUUAAGCAAUCUCUCUC